rnacentral:rRNA from 1 species
UACGGAGGAUCCAAGCGUUAUCCGGAUUCAUUGGGUUUAAAGGGUGCGUAGGCGGAAUGAUAAGUCAGUGGUGAAAUCCUUCAGCUUAACUGGAGAACUGCCAUUGAUACUGUCAAUCUUGAGUACAUUUGAUGUGGGCGGAAUAUGACAUGUAGUGGUGAAAUACAUAGAGAUGUACAUAGAACACCGAUUGCGAAGGCAGCUGACGAAACUAUAACUGACACUGAGGCUCGAAAGUGCGGGGAUCAA